rnacentral:misc_RNA from 1 species
GAUGAAGAACGCAGCGAAAUACGAUAAGUAAUGUGAAUUGCAGAAUUCAGUGAAUCAUCGAAUCUUUGAACGCACAUUGCGCCCGCUAGUAUUCUGGCGGGCAUGCCUGUUCGAGCGUCAUUUCAACCAUCAAGCCCUGCUUGUGUUGGGGUCCUGCGGCUGCCCGCAGGCCCUGAAAACCAGUGGCGGGCUCGCUAGUCACACCGAGCGCAGUAGCACAUCUCGCUCAGGGCGUGCGGCGGGUUCUUGCCGUAAAACACCCCCUUUUUACCAAGGUUGACCUCGGAUCAGGUAGGAAUACCCGCUGAACUUAAGCAUAUCAAUAAGCGGAGGA